AUUGAACGCUGGCGGAAUGCCUUACACAUGCAAGUCGAACGGCAGCACGGACUUCGGUCUGGUGGCGAGUGGCGAACGGGUGAGUAAUAUAUCGGAACGUAUCCAAUAAUGGGGGAUAACUAAUCGAAAGGUUAGCUAAUACCGCAUACGCCCUGAGGGGGAAAGCAAGGGACCGCAAGGCCUGGCGUUAAUGGAGCGGCCGAUAUCUGAUUAGCUAGUUGGUGAGGUAAAGGCUCACCAAGGCUUCGAUCAGUAGCUGGUCUGAGAGGACGACCAGCCACACUGGAACUGAGACACGGUCCAGACUCCUACGGGAGGCAGCAGUGGGGAAUUUUGGACAAUGGGCGAAAGCCUGAUCCAGCCAUUCCGCGUGAGUGAAGAAGGCCUUCGGGUUGUAAAGCUCUUUCGCAAGGGAAGAAAACUUAUCCUCUAACAUAGGGUGAGGUUGACGGUACCUUGAUAAGAAGCACCGGCUAACUACGUGCCAGCAGCCGCCGUAA
rnacentral:rRNA from 1 species